AUUUAUCAACAAAAAAUUCAGAGAAUCAGAGUCUAGAGUGACGACUCUUAUUCUCCUCCAACGCCCAAGAGUAGAGACGAAAACGGAGUCAUGGUCACGGAGAGAGGCAGAGAGCAGAGCUUCUUCUUCUCCGACUCCUGAGAAAAUCCGCCGUCCUCUGCCUGAGAGCAGAACUUCUUUCUCUUCUUCUUCUUCUUCUCCUCCGCCGAGUCCGCCUCCGCGCCAUCCUCUUCAUACUCGUCGUUGUGAUCCCGUCGCCAAAGCACGUCGCUGUCGCAGCUUCUUAGACUAUUCAAAGACCUAUGCUCGGUCCAAAUAUUAUGACGAAGCAAAACCCUGGAAUGAAAGGUGUGAUGUUGCAUUUUCUUGUGCUUCGCAGAAUGAAAUUGAACAAUCUGAUGCCAUUAAUUUGGUUAAUGCAGGUUGUCGUCUACUAGUAGAAGGUUCCAACAUGCCCUGUACUCCUAAGGCAGCUGACUUCCUAAAGAAAGCUAGUGUUCUCAUUGCUCCUGCAAUGGCCGUUGGCACCGGAGGGGUAUGAUGUUUGCUAUAUUAUUCAGAGUGCUAUGUUUUGCUCAUAUAUUAUAGAUUUUAGAUUGGCAUGUUGACAUGUUGAUGACCUUUCUCCUUGCUUACAAGUUGUGGUUAGAGAGCUUGAACUGAAUCAUGAAUACAGUUUGAUGCACUGAUCGUCAGAGGAUUUCGAAUCAAAAUUCUGCUUUGGUUUUACCUGCUAUAUGUCUUUAGCAUGGUUCUAAGCACCAUCUGAGAUGGCCAUAAUUGGAGCAAGAAGAAAGACGGAAAGACUGUCGGAGAGGCACACGAACGCCUUAAGGUUGGAACUGUCAAAGCCUUAAAUUGUUACUCUGCAUAUGGAGAGCAGAACCCUACUUUCCAGAAGUAGAGCUAUUGGAUGUUGGAUCCGGCAUAUGAGCAUAUUGUUCUUGUGCAUUAUAGAGAAACAAGUGAGGUGACUCUUCAUAACUUGAUUGUAGAUAAACAUGAUAAUAGUACUUUGUCCUAUUGAUAUUUACCUUUAUUUAAAUGGCUCAUGCUAGAUCCUGAACAGUUUAUAUUUCUUCUAUAAGUUUGGUACGGUAGUUUUUCUUUUC